rnacentral:lncRNA from 1 species
UGAAGUAGUUUUCAUAACCCCUCCCCCACCCUGUUUUUUCAUAACCACUCGGAUUUCCAGCUGGAUAGUCUUUGAGGAUAUAGGUGAAUGCUGGGAGGUGGUCCGGGCAACUCUGUGGAACAUUCUCCAAUGGACUAGUAGGAUGAGAAGAUCCAAGAAUAGUUUGGGGAACAAGGAGAAACAUUACCUCUCAUGACGGUAAACCUACCGAAAAGGAGAACUUAUGAAAAUAUGUGUGUAUGGGAACUGUUGAGACACGGCCUGAACCACUGAUUGAUCACCUGAGGAAAGGACUGAGUCAGCUGUGGGAGCACAGGUGAAGGCAAUUCACCUGCAUGAUCGGAAGGAGUGGAGCCUGGCUGCACCUCUUCUAGACCCCAUUUAAGGGCUGACUGCCACUGGGGAAGGUUCUCUUUGUGGAGAUUCCUCUUCUGUGGAGUCCUUUCUGCAAACCUAGAUCUUCAGGUACAGGUGAGCAUUCCUUUCCUGUUCAUUUUUUUGUCCCAUUUUUACCAUGAUGAUCUUUCUUGAUGUAACACCAACUGUAACAAUGUGUGACAGAAGAAUUUGUUGAUAUAGGAAGUUUUGCCUCCCAGAUUUAGACAAAUUGAUUGCAAAUUGUCAUAUAUUUGAUUUCCGCAUAAAAUUCUCCAGACCUAUUUUAUCUUAUCAUAU